rnacentral:rRNA from 1 species
AAAUGGGGCCUUUGGCUUUGAAUUGUAAUUUUGAAAUGUAUUGCCAAUGGAGGCGCAGGUGCAAGCCUAUUGAAAGAAAGCGUCAAUGAGGGUGAAAUUCCUUUUUGUCAUUUGCAGUCCUCCGUGCACGGUAUAUAUUUGACGAGUCACACUCCUCGGCAUUGGAAUGCAAAGUGGGUGGUAAAUUCCAUGUAAAGGUAAAUAUAUUAUUGAGACUGAUAGCAAACAAGUACCAUGAGGGAAAUAUGAAAAGGACUUUGAAAAGGGAAUUAAAAGAGUCUGCAUUUGCUGAACAGAAAGCAAACAGAAUUGAUGUGCUUGGUGAGAUUGUUGUGCCCACUCUGUCAUUUAUGUCGGAUGUGGGUGCGAUGGUUCUUACCUUGAAUGUCAGCUUCUAUUUCUGCAAAUCAUUACCCUUGCACAUGAAUGGUAAUUUGCCUGCGGGUAUUGGAAUGUGUGUGUUUGCAAUGAUUUGUGAUUUGAUGCAUGUGGUUGGUGGACUUUGUAUGUGCUGUUUUGCCAACGGGGAAGGGACUCUUCCUUGAGCACUGCAAGCCCUUGCACAUUAAUGCUGGCAAAAUGUUUCUGCUUGACCCGUCUUGAAACACGGACCAAGGAGUCUAACAGAUGUGCAAGUGCGUGGGUGGCAAACCUACUAACACAAUGAAAGUAUUGGCUGGGAUAUUUGCACCAGCAGCCGACUGAUUAGCAGACAGAGGUUUGAGUUUGAGCAUAUCUAUUAGGACCCGAAAGAUGGUGAACUAUGCCUGAACAGAAUGAAUUCAGAGGAAACUCUGGAUGGAGGUUCGUAUCGAUACUGACGUGCAAAUCGUUC